GAUAAAACUGGCUCGGCUAAGCUGAAAUAACACAAGUGAGAGAGAAUUAGCAUAACUAUAUAUCGUUUUAUUUACAUUCUUGCAACUUUUAUGAGGGGAAAAAGCAGCGUUAUUAAUCUCUUAUAGUCAGUUAACAUGUUAAAUAUACACAAACACUCAAUGUAUACAAAAGCCACAUUUUGCCCUGUCAUUAUUAAAAUUAUUUAAUUUGUACACCAUUCUAAUACAAGACUUGCUGAAGUUUGGGAAUUAAAAAACUGGUAUUCAAUAACAAUUUAUCCACAGAAAAACAUCUAACUUGCAUGAUUCAUUGGAGUGCUCAACCAACCACAUUGAAUGAUAGUCACAGUUUGGCUCUUCACUUUUCCCUAAGUAAUAACCAUUUAACCACAGAGAAAUUUACAUGACUCAUUGGAGUGCUCAACCAGAUAUACGGAUAAUCACAGUUACUUUGGCUCUUCACUUUUUCCAAAAGUACCCAUAUUGGAUAAGAAUAAAAGGAUAUGUUAUAGCAGUUUAACGCUUCAAAUUAGUAAAUAAAGAAAAAUGAAAUUAUGAAAAAUGGGCAAGCUCAAUACACAUAGGCAUGGGAUAUUCAGUCCCCAAGACCAAGUAAUAUAGAUGAAUAAAAGCCAGUAACAAGCAGCAAGGUCAUCUAAACCUAAUUCAACAGAAAUUAGCAAAUUUAAUCAGCAAUUAUCACAUGUGCCAAAUCACAGCUUUGGGCCUUUUGGAUGAGCCUGGGUGAAGUUAUAUUUUGGAAAAAUUUAUAAAAGAAAACGAAAGAGUAUCAUGCCUUGCAUGGCAUAUAAAUUUUGACAAAAAUUAUGCAAUGUGAUGGAAUAAAGGAAGAUUAGACUUAUGAAUUAUUUUGAUUUAUUUUUUAAUUGUAAAAUUAAAAUCUUUAGUUCAGAUUUUCUAGUA
rnacentral:misc_RNA from 1 species